GGAAUCAUGUGAGACAAGGGUGGUGGCCGCUCUGGAGGUGCCUGGGGGGUUCCCUCAUUACCCCUCUGGGCUUAGUCCAUCCUCCACACUGUUGUGCAGCUUCUCCACCUCCUGGUAGAGGAUAAAUACUGUUACCCUUAUCCCUGGUCACAUCCAGGGAGACGCGGUCCAGCGGCCCAGGCGGGGGACAGUGCCGUUCUAGAGGUCCUUGAGCCCCUCCUUCCUCAGGAUCUGCAGCCAUAGGCCGGUGUGUUCCGCGUUUGUGCUGCUCCAGGCCCCGCAUCCGGUCUCGAUCCCAUCCAGAGGAGCGUUUCCCAAGACACUGGCUGCGCCCACAAUGGCUCCGAAGACCCCAGCGACCAGCGGGUCCAUGGGCUUGCUGGGGUUGUCCCCUCGGUACCAGCUGUGCAGGGAGGUCAGGAGGAGAAGCAGACGGCCUGGUUCCAGCCCUGCUUUAGCGUGGGUGCCAUGAGGCCCCGACGUUUAAAGUAUUGCUGUGUGUUUCAAGUGGAGGAGGUCAUAUUACAACUGACAUUUGUCCUUGACUACUGGACAUAUCACACCAGCCCUGAUUGCAGUUAUACUUGAAGCCAGAUCUACCCUUAACGUAUAUUCAUUUUACUAUUCAAUAAAUAUUAACUUAUCAUGAAUGGUA